rnacentral:rRNA from 1 species
AGAGUUUGAUCCUGGCUCAGAUUGAACGCUGGCGGAAUGCUUUACACAUGCAAGUCGAACGGCAGCAUAGGUGCUUGCACCUGAUGGCGAGUGGCGAACGGGUGAGUAAUACAUCGGAACGUGCCCAGUCGUGGGGGAUAACGUAGCGAAAGUUACGCUAAUACCGCAUACGAUCUAUGGAUGAAAGCGGGGGACCGUAAGGCCUCGCGCGAUUGGAGCGGCCGAUGUCAGAUUAGGUAGUUGGUGAGGUAAAGGCUCACCAAGCCAACGAUCUGUAGCUGGUCUGAGAGGACGACCAGCCACACUGGGACUGAGACACGGCCCAGACUCCUACGGGAGGCAGCAGUGGGGAAUUUUGGACAAUGGGCGCAAGCCUGAUCCAGCCAUUCCGCGUGCAGGACGAAGGCCUUCGGGUUGUAAACUGCUUUUGUACGGAGCGAAAAGCCUUGGGUUAAUACCCUGGGGUCAUGACGGUACUGUAAGAAUAAGCACCGGCUAACUACGUGCCAGCAGCCGCGGUAAU